UGCUUUGCUAUUUAAACCAUUUUUUUUUUUGUUUUAAAAAACAUUUUAAGCUUUGUUUUUAGAAAAGAAACCCCAAAAGCCCUAUAAUAUUUUCUGCUCCCUCACUUCCCCUUAUUCUCCAACCGAAGGGCUAAGCCUCAAAAGCUAUCAAAAUCCGACUGCGAUGAAUGGAGUUGAGCCUCCAACGGCGUGAGUGCGAUGCCACUCCGGUAGCGAAGACGUGGAGGAGAAACAGGCAUGGGACGUGCUACACUCGAGCUGGGGCGGACGUGCGUGGGAGUUGCAGGUGGCCAUAGCUGUGGCGCGAAGCAGAUGGAAACCCUAGGGUUUCCGAAAACUCUAACAACUUGGACUUAUCGGGCUUGCUUUAUUUCAUUCGGGCCAUUGUAAAGUUUUUGGGCUUUUGGAUUUAUUCUUGUUUUUGGGCCUGAACUGGAUUUGGACUGUUUUAAUUUUUGUGUUUUAUUUUGGAUUUUGGUUUCCAUAUUGCCCGCGCAAAAUCCGGGUCUUAUAAUUUAUUUAUGUAAUGUAAUGAGGAAAGUUUGUAAAUAGUAUAUCUUUACAAUCUUGAAUCAAUACACAAUUUAUUUUUCAAA